GCAUGUCUAAGUAUAAACAACUCUCUAUACUGUGAACUGCGAAUGGCUCAUUAAAUCAGUUAUAGUUUAUUUGAUGGUAUCUUACUACAUGGAUAACUGUGGUAAUUCUAGAGCUAAUACAUGCUGAAAAGCCCCGACUUCCGGAAGGGGUGUAUUUAUUAGAUAAAAAACCAAUGGCGGGUAACCGUCUUGCGUUGAAUCAUGAUAACUGCUCGAAUCGCAUGGCCUUGCGCCGGCGAUGCUUCAUUCAAAUAUCUGCCCUAUCAACUUUCGAUGGUAGGAUAGAGGCCUACCAUGGUGAUGACGGGUAACGGGGAAUAAGGGUUCGAUUCCGGAGAGAGGGCCUGAGAAACGGCCCUCAGUCCUAAGGGACGCAGCAGGCGCGCAAAUUAUCCCAUCCCGACACGGGGAGAUAGUGACAAUAAAUAACAAUAUAGGGCUCUUUUGGGUCUUAUAAUUGGAAUGAGUACAAUUUAAAUCCCUUAACGAGGAUCAAUUGGAGGGCAAGUCUGGUGCCAGCAGCCGCGGUAAUUCCAGCUCCAAUAGCGUAUAUUAAAGUUGUUGCCGUUAAAAAGCUCGUAGUCGAACUUCUGCCUCUGCCGCCCGGUCCGCCUAUUUGGGUGUGUACUGGAGCGGUGGAGGCUUACCUCGUGGUGAGCGGCUAUGCCCUUUACUGGGUGUGGUCGGGAACCAUGAUUUUUACUUUGAAAAAAUUAGAGUGUUCAAAGCAGGCUUACGCCCGAAUACAUUAGCAUGGAAUAAUAAAAUAGGACGUGCGGUCCUAUUUUGUUGGUUUCUAGGAUCGCCGUAAUGAUUAAUAGGGAUAGUUGGGGGCAUUUUCGUAUUCAAUUGCUAGAGGUGAAAUUCUUGGAUUUAUUGAAAGACGAACUACUGCGAAAGCAUUUGCCAAGGAUGUUUCUCAUUGAUCAAGAACGAAAGGUUUAGGGGAUCGAAAACGAUCAGAUACCGUUGUAGUCUUAACAGUAAACGAUGCCGACUAGGGAUCGGACGAGGAUUUUUAAUGACUCGUUCGGCACCUGAAGAGAAAUCUUUAAGUAAGGUUCGGGGGGGAGUAUGGUCGCAAGGCUGAAACUUAAAGGAAUUGACGGAAGGGCACCACAAUGGUGUGGAGCCUGCGGCUUAAUUUGACUCAACACGGGGAAACUCACCAGGUCCAGACACGACAAGGAUUGACAGAUUGAUAGCUCUUUCUUGAUUUCGUGGUUGGUGGUGCAUGGCCGUUCUUAGUUGGUGGAGUGAUUUGUCUGGUUAAUUCCGAUAACGAACGAGACCUUAACCUGCUAAAUAGCCCGGCCGGCUUUGGCUGGUCGCUGGCUUCUUAGAGGGACUAUCGGCGUUUAGCCGAUGGAAGUUUGAGGCAAUAACAGGUCUGUGAUGCCCUUAGAUGUUGUGGUCCGCACGCGCGCUACACUGACCGAACCAGCGAGUUUAUCUCCUUGGCCGGAAGGCCUGGGUAAUCUUGUGAAACUCGGUCGUGAUGGGGAUAGAGCAUUGCAAUUAUUGCUCUUCAACGAGGAAUACCUAGUAAGCGUGAGUCAUCAGCUCGCGUUGAAUACGUCCCUGCCCUUUG
rnacentral:rRNA from 1 species